rnacentral:tRNA from 4 species
CGCGGGGUAGAGCAGUUUGGUAGCUCGUCGGGCUCAUAACCCGAAGGUCGUCGGUUCAAAUCCGGCCCCCGCAACCA